rnacentral:rRNA from 1 species
UGCAUCGAUGAAGAACGCAGCGAAAUGCGAUACGUAGUGUGAAUUGCAGAAUUCAGUGAAUCAUCGAAUCUUUGAACGCACAUUGCGCCCUUUGGUAUUCCAAAGGGCAUGCCUGUUCGAGCGUCAUUUGUACCUUCAAGCUUUGCUUGGUGUUGGGCGUUUUUUUGUCUCCCUCUUUCUGGGAGACUCGCCUUAAAACGAUUGGCAGCCGGCCUACUGGUUUCGGAGCGCAGCACAUUUUUUGCGCUUUGUAUCAGGAGAAAAGGACGGUACUCCAUCAAGACUCUACAUUUUUCACUUUUGACCUCGGAUCAGGUAGGGAUACCCGCUGAACUUAAGCAUAUCAAUAAGCGGAGGAA